CUAAAAUUCUCCCUAGAAAGUUCUUUUAAGGACAUUUUUACUUGCGGAGAAGUUGGCACCGAAAACAGAGAGGCUCUCUUCUCACUAUCAAAAUAAUCAUAAUAAAACAUUAGGCUUGGCCUGUCAGAAAGAGAUCUGAUUUGGCCCUAGAGAAAGAAGGGUGCCGGAGAGCGGCGUUCUGAGGCCUUGGGACUCAGGCAAGCACGCUUUUCCUGGGGCUGAUCGCAUCGCACCGUCUGCAUCAAACACGGUGGAGCUCAAAGCUGUCCAUGAGAGAUUGAUAUAGAUUUUCGAGGAACCCUCCCAUUUUGUUUUAGUCUGAGAAUCUGUGCUCUUGUUCAACCUUUAUGGGAUUGUAAUUGCCGAAAUUGACCUUCAGAUGCCCCCUUUCCUCCUCCCUCUUUUUUUUUUUUUUUUUUGUUAAUACUGAGCUUCGGUAACUUUAAUCCACUCCUUUGUCAAACAGAACUCACCUGGCGUUUACACGGGAGCUAUCUGAGUAGGGAGGAAGUUUAGGACAGGAAAUUCCACGCUAUGUCACACCAGCCCUGUCGUUUGCGCCAGGACGGGGAUAUAACUAGGAUUCCCCUUUCUUUCCCUUCAUUUUUUUCUAAAAUGAUGAACUUCUCAUAUUCGUGGAUCUAUUUGCAUGUGAAUGAAGGCAUUCCCCCGCUGUAUAUUUCUGCAGUGGUUCCUGGGGCAGGUUCCCGUGCCUUCAGCUCAGCUCCUCUAGAUUGGAGGCUGUGAUGUCCUCGUAUGGUGAAGGCGACUUGGUGCGGAAGCCAUGGAAGAUCCAGCGAGAUGUUCUCCAGCCAGAGGCCCGUUCGGUUCAGGUGGUGGUGGUUAUGGGGGUGGGGAAGAGGGUCUAGUGCAGGAGGCCUCUGCGGUGGGAUCCCUGCGUCAAAAAAAGUGGCGGAGCUCUUGGGUUAGCCAGAGGUGAAGGUGAAGAUCAUUAGAGGGUGUUUUUUUAGGGUUGGCUGGCUGUGGCUCUUUUGGCUGGCUUUGGGUGAUCGUGCCCAGAGGGCGGAGUUGCUGCGAUUUCCUACCUCUCAGCGGAGAACCUGCCCUCUCGACUCCACGGCAGAAGGACGGGACCUUCUGGGAAGGAAAACAGCUGGACGAAGGAUCUCAGCGAGCCAUCCUGGCAGCAGUAGCAGCAGCAGGACCUUUGACAACUGGCGAGGAGAAGGAAGACUUCGCCUGCUUUUCAAAGGGGGAGACUCGAGCGACAAAGAGCCAAGGUGACGAAAAGCCAAGACGAUUGCGCCGCUGAGAGAGCCUUUGUUCGCCUUUUGAAGCGGGUGGGAAGAAUUACCUGCGGCGGAAAGGAAGAAGGAGCCCAAGGAAUCCGACCUGCUUGGUCGCCGCCGCCGCCUUCUUCCUUCGGCCCUUUUCGAACUGGUAACGCGGAGGAAGGAGCGACGGUGUUGAUGAGCAAAAAGACUGAUGAUGACGCCCAAAGCGGAGGGACGUCAGGAAAAACGGAACGAAAGAAAUGUCUUUAGCAGAAGGCAGGGGGGGAAAUUAUUCCGAAGAGCGGGAAAGGCAAAAAGCAACAAACACAACGGACACAGAUCUCUCCUGUUAGGAGUAGCAUGGAAGACUCUUGAGAGCGAAUAUAAAAGAAAACAUACAAACA